UGAAAUCAGCUGUAGCGACCGAGAUUGACGAAGAAAUACGAGUUUCGAGGAUGCGGAUUACCGUAAAUCGAACGGGUACGAGAUGGACAUGGAGACGAAGCUGAGCAAUUUUCUCUCAAUGACACCAAUGAUAAGGAAUAAUGCACUCAUAAUUGGAAGAAACGUAGAAUGUCGAUGGGCUUAUAAUAUAUGUCAGCGAUGUUCCUGUUCGUCUAUCCCAAGAUUUCUGUGUUCUCAGAUCUUGUAAAUCUUGGACCGUGCUUGCAACGAUCUU